rnacentral:rRNA from 1 species
UACGUAGGGGGCUAGCGUUGUCCGGAUUUAUUGGGCGUAAAGAGCGUGUAGGCGGCCAGGUAGGUCUGCUGUGAAAACUCGAGGCUUAACCUCGAGAUGUCGGCGGAAACCAUCUGGUUAGAGUCCGGAAGAGGAGAGUGGAAUUCCUGGUGUAGCGGUGAAAUGCGUAGAUAUCAGGAGGAACACCGGUGGCGAAGGCGGCUACCUGGACAGAAACUGACGCUGAGGCACGAAAGCUAGGGGAGCAAACAGG